rnacentral:lncRNA from 1 species
GACCAAACAAAAUUAAUUAAUUAAUCAAAAUAAAAAAACUCAAUCUGAUCAAGCUAAUCAAUUUAACUUAACUUAAAGUAAAUACAAUAUUCAAAUGGGAGAAGGAAAGGUCAGCAUCAUCGAUCCACCAACUCCAUCACUAACAAAACUCCACUAUCCAUCAUAUUGACAAACAGAAUGCCAUAAAAACCCAAAAUAUAUCCUCCACCAGUGGACCGCCACCGAUUAGAAACUCACCAUCACCACCGAUUAGAAAACUCCAUUAUGACCCCACUUGAAGUCCUAUUACUCAUAAAUUCACAUCUCUCAUCCCUAAUUAAAAGAAAGUGAAAGAAAAGAGGGAGAACAAACCCAUCAACCCAAAUAUGUUUGUGCUCAAUCACUGUUAUCAAAAAAUAAAUCAUCUCCGAUUUGGGAAAAAAUGGAAGAGAAGAAGAAGAAACGGCAUACCCAUAUGCACAUACUUCAAGUCUCUCGCCCUUCCCGGCGGCGUCGCACAAUUCAUUGUCAGAUUCACAAUCAUCUCAGUUGUUUGUUUUCGUUAGGUGGGUUGAAAUCUCCUUUUAUUGUUCAACUUUUAGGUCUUAGGUCGAUCUUUUCGCCACCGUUUGGGUUUGCUGGGUCGAAGGCUUUUGGAGGGAUGAGUCGGAUCUGCUGGCGAUGGCGAGUGAGGCAUCGAUGAGCUGCGACGGCAGAGCCGUGGAGGAGGUAGGCGGUGGUGGAUGAGGAGAGAGAAAGAACGAAUUUACGAUCAACGUGGAAAAUUUUGAUUUUAUGAGACUUCAGUUUUUGAAUGUAUAAAUGAAAGUGAUGUUACUAUUUUACCCUUUAAUAUAUUACUCAUGUUUAAUUUCAAAAUAAAAAAUUAAUUUUUUACAAAUACAUGUAUUAGUUGUUUCAUGCCUCGCUCAAAUAAUCAGGUUAUUAAUAUCUGACGUGAUAAUCUCAAUUGGAUCAAAUUAAAAAAAAUAAUAAUUUAAUUAUUUAAUUUAAAAAAAUUUAAAGCUAAAUAAAAAAUAUCAAUUUAAGAUAGUAAAACGUAUUUAAACUAUUUUUUAAAAUACGAAAACAGACGUAUUCUAAUACGGUGAAAUUGGAAGAAUACAAGUAAAAGUUUAGGUGAAAGAGGCAAAUAUGUUACAAGCUUAGGCCUUAGGUGGUGUUUGAUAAAACUGAGUGUUAAGACCUGAACAGUUUAGACGUCUGAAUAAUAUAGAGUCUGAAUGAAAAAAUGUUGUUUGAUAAUUAAUUUUUCCAAAAUAUCUGAAUAACGCUAUUUUAUCAUUUUAACCCUCUGAACAGUUUAAACAAAACAUGUUUGAUAAUCAGAAGGUCUGAAUAGUAUUUUAAAUACAUAUUUAUAAUAUUUUGACCACAAUAUGAUAAAAUAAAAAUAAAAAACGUACAAAUUAAAUUAACUUCAAACAUAGUAUCACGUCCCAAAAAUAUUAACAUAGCAUAAUAAUUCAACCAUACAAAUUAAAUUAACUUCAAACAGUUGUUAAGAGUUGAAGUGCAAUUUGUUCACGUAGAUUAACCAUAAAUUCUACGCCUUGAUCACCCCAUUGUGGUUCAUCUUGUCCCUUAUCUUCGUUUCCUUCAUUUUGCUCCGUUUCAUCGUCAAACAUGUUAUCUCGAUCAUAUUGAGCAAACAAUUCAUCCUCAAUGUUAUGCUUUCUUAUGAAAUUAUGGACUGCGAAGCAAACGAUAACUAUAUCCCUUUGUAUUGUAAAAAGGUAAGGAGCCAUUCGUUUCAAAAUUGGAAAUCUUGCUUUCAACACACCAUAAGCACGCUCGAUAACAUUUCUGAGUUGUGCACGAGCAUGGUUGAUUUUUUUCUCUUUAUUCAAAGCACGUCUGCGUCGAAAAUCAACUAACCAAUACCUUGUAUUGCGAUAUGGAGAUAAAAAUCCUCGAGUGUUUAUAUAUGCAGCAUCACAAAGAUAAUAUUUAUCUGUAAUUGAGACAAAAAAUAACAAUUAUUAUUAAUAACAUGAAUGAUGAAAUUUUAUGGCAAAAAUAAAUAAUAAUUGAAAAUGGUAAAAGAAAUUGUAAUAUAUACCCGGGGGAGGAAAUGGAAAACCAGAAGAUGGAUCAAAUGCAACUUCUUUUAGCACUCGUGAGUCGUGUGCAAUCCCUUCCCAUCCGGCCCAAACAAAUGUGAAUAUCAUGUUAAAAUCACAUAUUCCUAAAAUAUUUUGAUAGCAUUCACUUCUUCCUCUUCCUUUAUAAUGCGUUUGUUGACUAACAGGAACAACUGCAUGUACAAGAGUAUCAUCUAAUGAACCUACUGCACCCUGCAUUAAAAUAUUAAAAGAUCUCAAAGUAUUUUAUUGUGACGCCCCCAAAAUAGGUAUACAUCACCCAUUCUGAGUUGUCAAUACAUGGUACAGAAACAACUACAACUUUAUUAUUACAAUAGUAAAACUGUGAGUUUGAAUACAAAUAUUAUCUUCUAGACAAUAUCUAUACUCAAAUAAAUCCUCAUCACAUUUAUUGAUACAUUAUUUUACAAAAAUGGUGAGGACUACUAAACAACUCUCUCUAGAACCUUCAUUCCAUACCCCGACUCGUACUCGCUAUAUUCUCGCCUCCUGAGAAGAAAAAUGGAACAAAAAGGAAAAGGGUGAGCUCAACUAGCCCAGUAAAGAAUAUUAUGACUAAGAUAAUAUACAACAAAUUAUCGUUAGUCUUCAACAGGGAAAAAUCUAAUAGAAUACAAUAGACAACAAGUUUUAAAUCAAUAUUCGCAGCGGAAAUAAUAAUUCAUUAGAAGAGUUAAGUAGAGAAUGCAAACUACUAUCUUCUAUGUAUGAAUUUAAAAGUUCAUCGUCUAUCUUUUAUCCCUGUAACAUCAAUCAAUAUAUAUCUGGAAUCAAAUAUUCAUCUUUGCACUACAGGCCAAAGAUAUUCAUCAGUUGGUCAUGUUCAUCUAAACACCUGUUCAUCUUUGCACUACGGGCCAAAGAUAUUCAUCAGAAAUCAUUCAUCUUUGCACUACAGGCCAAAGAUAUUCAAUAAUAUCAUCAUUUAAGACUGAGGAUGAUGAAAAAAAUUUUUUUUUUAAAGAAACGAAUCCAGUGAAACAAAAUGACAAGGAUUAAGGAUUAAGGAUUCGUACUUUGUUUUAUCCACGUCCAAAAAUACCUCAAAAAUAAUCAUAGUGGUGUAAAAUUCAAGAAUGAUCAAAACAUGGAUACAAUCAAAGCUAGUAUCCACAAUAGAUAUUUUGGACGAAAAGAAAAAUUUUCAUUUUUCGAUGAAUAGUGCCGUAUUCGUGAAUAGUACCGUAUACGUGAAUAGUGCCGUAUACGUGAAUAGUAACUCCGACACCAAAAGUUCCAAAUUUGAUAAAAACUUCAGAUCAAUAUUUCAGCAUAAUGAUAUUGAAGAAAUAAUAUCAUUACGAAAAAAAAUAAUAUCCCUUACCUCGGAAAGACAGUACUUCUAACUGGAAUACUGGAUAUAGGCUAUAACUUGAACUUUCACCGUAUAGCAAUACUCAAAGUAUACUCAAAAUACUCACAAGAAUACGCUCGAUAAUAUAGAGAGAGAAAACUUCAGUUUCUGGUGUGAUUUUCAAUUCUAACCUAAGCACCUAUUUAUAGGAAAUUGCUUAGAACACCAAAGCAGAAAAUUUAAUAUAAUAUUAAUAUAUAUAAAAAUAUUAUACGUAUUCCUUGAAAUCUUAAUCUCAGCAAUUCACACAUGCCAACCUUCUAGAAAAAAAUAAAAAAAACGUUUUUCUAAUUUAAAAUAUUUUAAACUUCCAAAAAUCAAUUAUUUCGGAGCUUCGGAACUUCAAUAAUUCAUAAUAAAUAGCCCUUUUAUCAGAAAAUUCGAAUCUCGCGAGUUUUUAUAGGAAAUUCAAUUCUCUACAACUUUGCAGAAGAAAGUUUUUCCAAAUUCCAAACAGAAAUUGACCGAAAUCCACAAACGGGCGAUUUUAGAGGCUAUAAUCAAAUUUCAGUCAAUAAAUGGGGUCCACCGACAUGUUUAACAUGUUUUAAACAUUUAUUGCAACAAAAAUACUCUUCCUCCUCGUAUACUCAUAUAUCCCACAUUCGUUGUAAAAAUAUCACCAUUAUUAUAUUAUUAAAAUAUAAUAAUAUAUAUAUUUAAAUGAAUUAUUUUAUCAGAAAAAGAUAAAAUUUCAAUUUUCAACAAUUGUCACAUUAAAAAUUUUCUCCAUCUAUAUCCACAUAAAAUCAAUAUUUUCCUCAUCAUAUGAAUCAAUAAUUAAUUAUUCACAAAUAAUAUUACAGAAUCACAAUAUUGACAACCAGGCAGUUCCCAGGAAAGAGGGGGCUUUCCAAUAAGAAUUUCUCCUUACUGGCGCGCAAUUAGGUGACCAAACCUCUCCUUAGACAGAACUUUCUAGACAUUGCCAAUAAUGUUAUCUAAUAAUAUUAUUCAGAUAAUAUGAAUUAUUGCUUCGAUAAUGAAAAAUACUGUGUAAUGACAAUUAUUGAAACAACAGCAAUAUAAAAUAUCAACGCAGCAAUUAUUGAAUCAAUAAAAUAAAAUACUGAACAGUAAUUACUGUAACCAUUAUUGAGUAGUGCCUUCUUACGUAAGAAUCAAUAAUUGGUGCAAUACCGUGUGCUACUGUGUUUUAACCACCGAGUAUUUUAACAGUAUUAACGGUAACAACUACGCCGUUAUUUUUAAACAACUUAUAUUUGUCGUUUUCUUCAUCCAAUCGCUUUCCGUUAUGGGGCCCACAAAAGACUGCGCUGUCGUACGAAUAUUCCCCGACAGCAAGAAUAUUCCACGACCAAACGAAUAUUCCCCGACAACAAUGAAUAUUUUAUAACCACUUGCUUAUUUUGAAAUAUUUGCGUAUUUUACCCAUAACUAUUCACAUUAAUCAAAUCAACCCUUACUAUUUCAAAAUAAUAAAUAGAGAAAAUUAAAUUUCAUUAAUAAUAAGUUGGGGUCUUACAUUUAUUGUAUGGAAUAAAUGUAACAAGAAAAGAAAAGAAUUUACAUGCCACUUACCGAAAAUAUUUGUCAUAAAUUUUUAUGGUUCCCUGGAAUAUCGGGAUUUGGAUCAAAUGAUGUCGGCACUAUAAUUUCUUUUGAAAACUCAAUCAUUCCGUUUAACACCUCAUGAAAAUAUCUAUGUAUUGUUUGGGUAGAAUGUUGAAAUCUGCGUUUUACAACUCUAAAGCGUUCAUUAUGACCUAUAAUUGUUAAGAAUAUUGCCAUCUUCUCCUCAACUGUUAUGUAUCUACUAUUGUGUACCCAUUGUUUUUCCUUGAAGUGUUCACAUAGAUGUACAUAUGCAUCACGAGAGAGACGCAUCAAUUCUCGACAUUGUGUAUUUGAUCCAUGUAAUAACUCUAAUGUAUAAGCAUGUCCGCUCAAUGCCGAAGUAUUAUCCAUAAUCCUUAGUAUUCUCUUUAAAGAUCGUGUUUUCAAAUACCAAUAUAUAAUCAUCAAACAUAAAAUUUGAUCCUCAAUAUCCAUAUUACCUAUAUAAAACAUAACAAUUUUAAAAUACUAUAACAAUAGCAUACAAAAGAUAAUGAUACUAUAGCAAAUAUCACAUCCAUAAUUUAACUUAAGAAGUUCAAAGUCAUCUACAUCAAAUAUUACAUCCAUAAUUAGUAAUAGCAAAUAUCACAUCCAUAUUAGCCCCAACAUAUACAAGAUUUUAUAUCCCAAAAAUAUCAAAUUAGCUAGCCCCAAAGAUAAGAAGUUUUUACCCAAAAAUAUCAAAUUAGCUAACCCCAAAGAUAAGAAGUUUGUACCCAAAAAUAUCAAAUUAGCUAGUCCGCUCAUAUACCCACCAACAUAAUACCAACAACUAAACAAUAUAUCCUAACUUGCGUGAAACCAUCAUAACCCAAUUUUCAACCUCAUUUUCUUUUAAAAUCAUCCAUGCUUCUCUAUAGCUUGGUUUCUCACAAAAUAUUCCAAGAGCCAUCUUGUGUAGUGGAUUUUCUACUCCCCAACCAAGUUCUUCCAACUUAUCUUUGCAUUCUUGCACGGAAGGUCCACUAUUCUUUUCAACAAUGAGCUUUAAGGCCUUGGACAUCUCUUCAUCUAGGUUAGUGUUAUAGGUUUGUUUAGAUGAAUGCUUAGCUUUUUUCUUUGGUCUUUCUCCCUCAAAGCUAGGAGCGGAAGCAUGAUAUUGCAUACCGGGAGUUGAUGCAUUGGGAGAAGGAAUAGAAGUCCCUUGACCUUGGGUGCUAAAAGGAAUGUCCUCAAGACUAAAAAGUAAAUCAAUUUAACUGAACUUUACUCUUAAUUAAUCAAAAUAAAAAAACCCAAUCUGAUCAAACUAAUCAAUUUAACUUAACUUAAAGUAAAUACAAUAUUCAAAUGGGAGAAGAAAAGGUCAGCAUCAUCGAUCCACCAACUCCAUCACUAACAAAACACCACUAUCCAUCAUAUUCACAAAUAGUAUGCCAUUAAAACCCAAAAUAUCUCCCCCACCAGUGGACCGCCACCGAUUAGAAACUCACCACCACCACCGAUUAGAAAACUCCAUUAUGACCACCACUUGAAGUCCUAUUACUCAUAAAUUCACAUCUCUCAUCCUUAAUUAAAGGAAAGUGAAAGAAAAGAGGGAGAACAAACCCAUCAACCCAAAUAUGUUUGUGCUCAAUCACUGCUAUCAGAAAAUAAAUCAUCUCCGAUUUGGGAAAAAAAUGAAAGAGAAGAAGAAGAAAUGGCAUACCCAUAUGCAUAUACUUCAAGUCUCUCGCCCUUCCCGGAGGCUUCGCACAAUUCAUUGUUAGAUUCACAAUCAUCUCAGUUGUUUGUUUUCGUUAGGUGGGUUGAAAUCUCCUUUUAUUGUUCAACUUUUAGGUCUUAGGUCGAUCUUUUCGCCACCGUUUGGGUUUGCUGGGUCGAAGGCUUUUGGAGGGAUGAGUCGGAUCUGCUGGCGAUGGCGAGUGAGGCAUCGAUGAGCUGCGACGGCAGAGCCGUGGAGGAGGUAGGCGGUGGUGGAAGAGGAGAGAGAAAGAACGAAUUUACG